UACGGAGGGGGCUAGCGUUGUUCGGAAUUACUGGGCGUAAAGCGCGCGUAGGCGGACCUGCAAGUCGGGGGUGAAAUCCCAAGGCUCAACCUUGGAACUGCCUUUGAUACUGGGGAUCUUGAGUCCGGGAGAGGUGAGUGGAACUGCGAGUGUAGAGGUGAAAUUCGUAGAUAUUCGCAAGAACACCAGUGGCGAAGGCGGCUCACUGGCCCGGUACUGACGCUGAGGUGCGAAAGCGUGGGGAGCAAACAGG
rnacentral:rRNA from 1 species